AUCGAUGCAUAUCGACCUUAGGUAUAUGGGAUCCUCUACUAUUAGAUUUAUUUGAAUAGGCUUGGUACAACACAUUCAAAUUGUUUACUAAAGGAAUAAUCAAGAAGAAUUUAUAUAAAAUUUUGUUUAAAGAAUGCCACGCACAUAUCAACGUAAGACUGAUAGAGAAAGCUGGGAUCCAGUCCACAUGAAAAAUGCAUUGGAGGAAGUUAAAAAGGGAAUGCCUGUCAAAACUGCAGCACGGAUCUUUAACGUGCCAAGAAUGUCGCUUAAACGGCGUGCUACGGAUAAAAAUAAAGUUGCCAAAAAAGAUAAAAAGUCACUUGGGAGGUGGAGACCAGUUUUUUCGCCUGAACAAGAAUAAGAAUUAGUAGCACACUUGAUCUUGAAAGUAGGAUGGAUGGGUUAACAACAAGGGAUUUGCGACAACUGGAUUAUCAACUUGCUGAACAAAAUAAGAUUCCUCACAAGUUUUCGCACGUUGAAAAGGCAGCUGGUAAAGACUGGUUUUAUGGGUUUAGAAAAAGACACCCAGAGAUUUCCCUAAGAUGUCCUGAAGCUACUUCAGCCGCCAGAGCGAGAGCUUUAAUAAACCCGUUCUCACAAAGUUUUUUAAUCUUUUUAAAGAUGUUUUUACAAAACAUAACUAUCCACCUCACAGGAUUUACAAUGUCGACGAGACUUCAAUUUCUACUGUCCCUGGUCGUAACUCAAAAAUUUUAGCCAGAAAAGGCUCAAAGCAAGUAUCCCGUGUGACUUCAGCUGAGCGUGGUGUUUCAACAACAGCAGUUCAGCGUAUCAGCUGCUGAAAGUUUUGUGCCACUGAUGCUGAUUUUUAACAUAAAACGAACGAAGGCAGAGCUAACAGAUGGUGCACCUCCAGGUACUGUUUUUACGUGCAAUGAUAGUGGAUGGAUGUGAGUAGAAGUUUUUACACAGUGGUUUAAUCACUUUCUGUCCUUUGUAAAACCCAGUGAGAAUGAUCCAGUUCUGCUCAUAUUAGAUGGGCAUUUGUCGCAUACAAGAAAUCUUGAUGUUAUUUUGAAAGCCAGAGCAAAUUUUGUGACUAUAUUAUGUCUUCCCCCUCACUGCACACAUAAGCUCCAGCCUCUGGAUGUUGUAGUUAUGGGUCAUAUUCGUGCUUAUUUAGACCAGGCACUGAAAAACUGGUUAAAUAAUCACCCUGGAAGAACGGUUACCGUGUUUCAAAUUAGUCAAAUAUUCUGCGAAGGUUAUCUAAAAGCCUGUAUACCACCCAACGGAAUUAACGGAUUCCGUAAACAGGAAUUUUUCCAUAUGAACCUGAAGUUUUCCAGGAAAGUGAUUUUUUAGCUGCACAAGUAACCGAUGAGACACUUGAAGAACUAUUUCAACCUGAUGAUCCAUUCAGAAAUCCAAUACCAGGACCUAGUUCGCAUCACGCGGACGAGUUGAUUCGAGAUGAAGCAAAUUUGUCCUUUUCUGUAACACCUCAAGAUUGCCAUCCGCUUCCAAAAAUUAAAGGCAAACGCAACACCACCCAAAGAAAGUCUUGUGGAAGUUCAGUUUUAACCGGCACGCCGUAUAAAGAUGCACUUGAAGAUAACAUUAAGAUGAAAGAAACAAAAGGAAAAUAGAAAAGGGCCAUUCAGGGAGCUAAGAAAACAGUCAAGGCGAAGAAACAAAAUAUCUCUAGUUCUUGAGAUACAGAGGAUGAUGAUCAAAAUGCAAUAUGUCUAUAUUGCUCCGAGGAGUAUUCUAGAUCUACAGGAGGAGAAGGAUGGAUCCAGUGUUCCACCUGUUCAAAGUGGGCCCAUGAUCAGUGCGCUGGAGUCGACGAAGAAGAUUCAACUUUUGUCUGUGACAUGUGUUCUGACUCACGGAAAUUUAGUCUAUAACUUUUUCCACUUGUAUUACUUUAGUGCUUAGCAUGUCCUGUUACGUAAAAAGCUUAAUGUUCCUUUUUGUACGAUUCUUUUUCAUAGGGAUCAUUUUACCCGCACGUUAGGGGUAAAACGAUCCUUUCGCACUUUUUUGAAAACAUGAUGCUUUUGUUGUAUUAAUAAAACUUCCUCCAAAUCA